rnacentral:misc_RNA from 1 species
GCCUUGUAACCAGCUUUAAGCUUCUCCUCCAACUGAGUGAAACUGUAAAUAAGUGCAGGAGAUCCUUUUGCAUUCGGAUUGCUAGAUUCACUGAAUCCUCGUUCAACUGCUAAUGAUAUUAUGGGAGCAGAUGAAAAGGCACGAAGAUAGGUUUGACUCCCGGCACGAAGAUCAAGAAAUAUGGGUCUUAAGGGAGCAAAGUUUUUAAUUCCUAGUUGUCUGCU